UACGGAAGGCAGCAGUGGGGAAUAUUGCACAAUGGGCGCAAGCCUGAUGCAGCCAUGCCGCGUGUAUGAAGAAGGCCUUCGGGUUGUAAAGUACUUUCAGUCGUGAGGAAGGUGUUAAGGUUAAUAACCUUAGCAAUUGACGUUAGCGACAGAAGAAGCACCGGCUAACUCCGUGCCAGCAGCCGCGGUAAUACGGAGGGUGCGAGCGUUAAUCGGAAUUACUGGGCGUAAAGGGCACGCAGGCGGUUAAUUAAGUUGGAUGUGAAAUCCCCGGGCUUAACCUGGGAAUGGCAUUCAAGACUGGUUAGCUAGAGUCUUGUAGAGGGGGUAGAAUUCCAUGUGUAGCGGUGAAAUGCGUAGAGAUGUGGAGGAAUACCGGUGGCGAAGGCGGCCUCCUGGCAAAGGACUGACGCUCAUGUGCGAAAGCGUGGGGAGCAAACAGGAUUAGAUACC
rnacentral:rRNA from 1 species